rnacentral:rRNA from 1 species
UACGUAGGGUCCGAGCGUUGUCCGGAAUUACUGGGCGUAAAGAGCUCGUAGGUGGUUUGUCGCGUUGUUCGUGAAAACUCACAGCUUAACUGUGGGCGUGCGGGCGAUACGGGCAGACUUGAGUACUGCGAGGGGAGACUGGAAUUCCUGGUGUAGCGGUGGAAUGCGCAGAUAUCAGGAGGAACACCGGUGGCGAAGGCGGUU